UAGGGAAUCUUCCGCAAUGGGCGAAAGCCUGACGGAGCAACGCCGCGUGAGUGAUGAAGGUCUUCGGAUCGUAAAACUCUGUUAUUAGGGAAGAACAAAUGUGUAAGUAACUAUGCACGUCUUGACGGUACCUAAUCAGAAAGCCACGGCUAACUACGUGCCAGCAGCCGCGGUAAUACGUAGGUGGCAAGCGUUAUCCGGAGUUAUUGGGGGUAAAGCGGGCGUAGGCGGUUUUUUAAGUCUGAUGUGAAAGCCCACGGCUCAACCGUAGAGGGUCAUUGGAAACUGGAAAACUUGAGUGCAGAAGAGGAAAGUGGAAUUCCAUGUGUAGCGGUGAAAUGCGCAGAGAUAUGGAGGUACACCAGUGGCGAAGGCGACUUUCUGGUCUGUAACUGACGCUGAUGUGCGAAAGCGUGGGGAUCAAACAGG
rnacentral:rRNA from 1 species